UACGUAGGGUGCAAGCGUUAAUCGGAAUUACUGGGCGUAAAGCGUGCGCAGGCGGUUUUGUAAGUCUGUCGUGAAAGCCCCGGGCUCAACCUGGGAAUUGCGAUGGAGACUGCAAGGCUUGAAUCUGGCAGAGGGGGGUAGAAUUCCACGUGUAGCAGUGAAAUGCGUAGAGAUGUGGAGGAACACCGAGUGGCGAAGGCAGCCCCCUGGGUCAAGAUUGACGCUCGAUGCACGGAAAGCGUGGGGAGCAAACAGG
rnacentral:rRNA from 1 species